rnacentral:lncRNA from 1 species
GGCUGGUUUUAGCCCUUGAUGUCUGUUGAAUAUAAGAAAAUAAGUCAUCUUCAGUGACCUUGCAUGGGGGAAGAAUAUUGAACUUUCCAGAUGUUGCAAUGAUCAAUUGGGAUGAUGCUAAGGACCUCUGACCUACAACAGGUGGUGAGGUGAGGUGGGGAGAAGAAGGGAGGAGAAAGAAAGAGAGUGAAUGUGCAGCCAAGAGUGAUUUCA